UGAUGGGAGAAAAAGGAAGAGAUGGAGUUGAAGUACUGAGUUGGAUCCUAAAGUUAUUUGUGAACCCAACUAAGCUCAGUAAGUCAGAGAAAACAGUCUUAUGUUUGUGUUCACUGGUUAGCCUUUCUGAGUGAGACAUCUUUCUCCUGGAGAGAUGUGUUAUACUGUAUGGAGCCUGAGGAAGACCCUGGAGUCCUGAGCAGGAGGGACCAGGACGACUGAUCCGUGUAAAGGAAAGAAUGAA